rnacentral:rRNA from 1 species
AUUGAACGCUGGCGGCAGGCUUAACACAUGCAAGUCGAGCGGGGGAAGGUAGCUUGCUACUGGACCUAGCGGCGGACGGGUGAGUAAUGCUUAGGAAUCUGCCUAUUAGUGGGGGACAACAUCUCGAAAGGGAUGCUAAUACCGCAUACGUCCUACGGGAGAAAGCAGGGGAUCUUCGGACCUUGCGCUAAUAGAUGAGCCUAAGUCGGAUUAGCUAGUUGGUGGGGUAAAGGCCUACCAAGGCGACGAUCUGUAGCGGGUCUGAGAGGAUGAUCCGCCAAACGGGGACUGAGACACGGCCCAGACCCCUACGGGAGGCAGCAGUGGGGAAUAUUGGACAAUGGGGGGAACCCUGAUCCAGCCAUGCCGCGUGUGUGAAGAAGGCCUUAUGGUUGUAAAGCACUUUAAGCGAGGAGGAGGCUACUCUAGUUAAUACCUAGGGAUAGUGGACGUUACUCGCAGAAUAAGCACCGGCUAACUCUGUGCAGCCGCCGCCGUAA